rnacentral:rRNA from 1 species
CAUGCAAGUCUAAGUACAUGCCGCACUAAGGUGAAACCGCAAAAGGCUCAUUAAAUCAGUUAUGGUUCCUUGGAUCUUAAACAGUUACUUGGAUAACUGUGGUAAUUCUAGAGCUAAUACAUGCAAUCAAGUCCCGGCCAGAGAUGGGAGGGACGCUUUUAUUAGAUCAAAACCGAUCGGCGUCCGGCUCCGGCCGGCGCCGUCUCUUUUGGUGACUCUGGAUAACCUUAAGCCGAUCGCACGGUCACAGUACCGGCGACGCAUCUUUCAAAUGUCUGACUUAUCAACUGUCGAUGGUAGGCUCUGCGCCUACCAUGGUUAUAACGGGUAACGGGGAAUCAGGGUUCGAUUCCGGAGAGGGAGCCUGAGAAACGGCUACCACAUCCAAGGAAGGCAGCAGGCGCGCAAAUUACCCACUCCCGGCACGGGGAGGUAGUGACGAAAAAUAACGAUACGGGACUCAUCCGAGGCCCCGUAAUCGGAAUGAGUACACUUUAAAUACUUUAACGAGUACCAAUUGGAGGGCAAGUCUGGUGCCAGCAGCCGCGGUAAUUCCAGCUCCAAUAGCGUAUAUUAAAGUUGUUGCGGUUAAAAAGCUCGUAGUUGGAUCUGUGUGCCACGCUGUCGGUUCACCGCCUGCGGUGUUAACUGGCAUGUCUGUGGGACGUCCUGCCGGUGGCGGUACGGGCUGCCGGCGCUGCGUAGGGGUUCGCCCCCGAAGCACGCCGGCGUGUCCCGGUCCGCCGAUCCAAUCCCGCCGCGGUGCUCUUCACUGAGUGUCGAGGAGGGCCGGCACGUUUACUUUGAACAAAUUAGAGUGCUCAAAUCAGGUCGU